rnacentral:lncRNA from 1 species
GACCUGUUCGAAUCUAGGGAGGUAAUGUAUUGAGGAUAAUUUCUUUUUCAAUGCCCCUGCUUCUUGCAGUAGAUGCAUUCCGUCUGACUCUGGUUAGACUUGAAUUUCUUGGUCUGACUGGGCUUGGGUGCCCCAGUACUUUAUACCCUUUUCUUGUUCUUCUUUUUUUUUUAAAGGAUCGACGUCCAGAUGAAGACCCUCCC